rnacentral:ncRNA from 1 species
CUUCCAAAAUUAGUUCGGGCCUUAAGAGAAGAAGUGCCCUUCAAAACCGCGGUGAAACUUUCGUUUUUAAGGCGCGAAGGGUAGCUACGUUUUUCUAUAAUAGCUGAAAGCCUUUAAGCUAGAAUGAGUACUUAAGGACGCAAAGAUAUGAAGACUACAUAUGUAAGGAUGAGGGGUUGUACGAUAUAAGCUUCUGCGAGUAUUUCAGACCACUUAUUUCUUUUUUUAGAACAUGCUUGCUC